rnacentral:lncRNA from 1 species
AUGCGUUUCCCGCGCCGCCCCCCUUCGACCCAAAGACCCUCCCCAAAGGGGCCAGUUGCGCAUCCAUGCAAAGGAAGAGCAGAGUUGCCGCCCUCCUGCGACCUCGCCCCUCCCUGGCAGGACCCUCCGCUCCUUGACUUGGGGGUCCCCCCCCUUGCAGGCUCCCCACACGCACGCUUUCCUGCAGCUCUGGGACCCCCAAAUGCACCCUCUGGGAGAGAGAGAGAGGAGACUCACCGGAUCCCAGCAGGCGCCGCCGGGGCAGCAUUGGCAGGGAGAGACAGAAGCGCCCCCUUUUUUUGCAGGAAAAGUCUGGGGAGGCGGGGAGGGGCUUUUGCUCUGGAGGACCUGCCCUCCGCGUCUUUCUUUCCUGCCCUCUCUAGGAAUCCAGCUCCUUUCUGUUUAACCCUUGGCAGGCCGACGGCACUCAGGUCUCCCUCUUCUCACCCGGGGGAGCCCCGUGCAUGGCGCGCACAGCACCCAGAGAUGCUUUAUUUGGGGGACCCUCCUGGCCGGGGGCUGAGCUUCCCCCUCCCUGGCCUAGAAGCCGGAGCUAUUUUCCCCUUGAAAAAGGACUCCAGGAAGUUCCAUUGUUAGCCAAAGGAAGCCAAAUCUCAUCACCUGACUCGCCUCAGGCUCCAGACAUGCAAAGGAACUUCUAUUGUACUUUUGGGUGGUGGGUACUUGUGAAAUAAUUGUCUAUGCUCAUCUUAUACUUGUGUGUUUCCCUAACACAUCUGUCUAUGCUAAUAAUGUGUAACCCUCCCCUUUUGUGACAUGUCAGUGAUGUAGCAGUGAUGCAGCAAUGAUGCUGUACGAACUGUAUUCUGGGAUAUGGUGGGAAGGUUUUAAAAGUCCCUGUCACCCCAUCCUCGGGGUUCAAUCGCCUUUUGAACCUGUUGCGCAAUAAACUCGGAUCUUCAGCUAUUUGCUCCGGUUGGCUGGACUCCUUCCUUUAUUCCACAGGGACCCGCAGGGCCAGCCCGAUGAGCUGGGGGACUGAGCAGCCUCGCACCUAGAUUUUUCUGUAACACCCCCCCUCCCAAAGAAAGGCUCAACAUCCACGCCCAUGGGGGCCUGUGGCCAGCCCAGACCCUGGAGCAUCUGCAUCUCUGCCCCAGCUUGAAACGUGGGGAGGGGAAGUUAGGGGCUGCAGUGCUGGCGAACCUUAUCUCCCCCUCCCCGUCCAGACAGAGGAGUCCCAUCUGGGUGGUGUGGAGUGGGCAGUGCGGGGCCUUCAAACUGUAAAGUAGGGAGGGCCCUCCUGAGUCAUCUAGUUGAACCCCCAGCAUAGCAGGAAUCUCAGCUAAGCAUCACAGGCAGGGGGCCAUCCAAGCUCCCCCCACCCCACCCAAGGAAGGCACUCUCCCCACUGGCUGGCUGUACUGCCCUCUCAAUGGCCCCUCCUGGCACACUUCCCUGUGGCCAACGACUCUUCCCCAGGGAGGGCAUCUGAACAAGAGACCACCCCCCUGUAGGGUGCUGUGUUGAUGCCCGCCAGGCUAAGGAAAAGCAAAGCAGCUGCGCAUUGGCACUGAGGGCUCCCAGACUUCAGCCAGUGCCCUCCAGGUUUUCUGAGUGCAGGCAUCGUGCUGGCUGGCACUGAGGGGAACUGCAGGCCCAUCUGCCUAGGGGGCACCUGCGUGGAGAUGGCGGUGCCAGGGAGAAGAGCAGCAGGUUCAGCCAGAGACUCCUAAAGGCUCUGCCCAGUUUCUUGGCGUGGAAGAUGUGACCAGCCAGCAGGGGCUGGGGCUGCAGCAGGGGGCUGGCCCCUCCUGGCCCCUGUUACCCAAGGUAAAGGACCCC